rnacentral:lncRNA from 1 species
GUUUAGUUCCUUUCUUCAUAAGUGUAGAGGAGAACGGCAGUUGUCCGCAUGUAAACUUCUAGCAUUUGUCACCAAUAAGAGUAUAUCGAAAUAUGUUACUGUUUCAACACCCAGGGAUGUUUCUUAAACAAUUAUUAUUUUUUCUCUCUUUUUUAGCAAUGCAUCACUCUCUACUGUCCUUAUCUAUUAUUCUAUAUUCUGCUACUCCAUCCAGAUUAUCGUGUAUACCAUGAGGGUUCGGAUGGGGGGCGGGGGGGGGGGGGGCUGGGGGGGGUUAUUUCUGUAUUCUUUAAAUUGUUAUGUCACGUUUCCUCCGUGACUUUUUUCCCUUUUACCUUUUAUUUAUCUUACUCAUUAUUCUUUCUCUAUUCUUUAUAUUUUAGCAUCCCAAUAUAUUUUACUUACUGAUGUUUAGUUACAUUACGAUGUUUAUCUCUGAUCUAUAUACUGGUUACCAAUGUAGAUGACAAAUUGGUGUCAUUCAUGACAAUUAAACAGAAUCCACAUGACAUAUGCGACCAUUCUUGGAUGAAAUUAACAUUACUUUAAUAUUACACUUUUUGAAACCGUUUUUAUCAAUUUUCAAUUUCCAUUGUUUAAAUUGUUCAUUGUUCAUGUGUUGUUUCCG